UUGAAAUUUUGAAUAAAAAAUUUCACUCUGUUAUCUCUCUAAAGUGGUCAUGACACUUGAUUGUUUGAAGACAAUCAUCUCCACACUGGUGGAUGAGCACAAUUAGAAAAGCGCCGAAGCUUGAAUAAAAAUUCUCCUAAUUUAUUUUUAAUCAGAAGUUUGUGUUAUUAUACUUUCUAAGCUUGUAAAUCACAAGGAACUAACUCUCCUAAGUCUAGGUCCAAACUUUGAAAAUGAUCGACGACGAAUUAAUUUAUUAUUUGAUCAAUAAUUGUGUACUCACACAGAUUGCGCUUAAUAAUAACGCCUUUAUCAUCACCCAACAAAAUAUUAUUUGAGUGUUUGUUUGACAUUCAUCUGUCACAUUCUCACGUCCUUAAUAAAUAUUUAUUAGUGGCAUGAAUGCAAUUAAGAGGUGACUUUACCGAAAUCACAGCAGUAGCCAGGAUAAUAACGGAUUUACUUAAUUAAAAUUAACACUAAACUUUGACACGAUUUACUCUAUUUAUUCUCAAACCAACAAUAAAAAAAAACAAACAAAAUGUGACAAUUAAGUGGGGAAGAUGCAUGAAAUCACUCUCUCCACUCCUUCAGUGAAAUUUUUUCAGUCCGUUUCAACCGCUUUACGAGAUGGUUACGGUGAAAAAAUAUGCAAUUCUUCAACAAGUUGCUUGUUCUCAGCUAUUUCUGCAAUUUUCUCGGUGAAGGAUUCAAAUCACACGUCUGGAAAAUAUUCGCUUGAAUUAAUCAAUCCGUGGUCGAACUAAUAAACUUGUUUGUGUUCGAAUUUGUGCCAAUAAAGCGUCUUAUUGUGUUUUCUUUAAAACGUUACAGUUGUUGCAAAAUAUCAAAUCGAAAAUUGUAUGAAAUUGUGGGUAAAUAGAGCUUAAGUGAAUUGGA